rfam:Cavia porcellus strain inbred line 2N cont2.4272, whole genome shotgun sequence.
CUGCAAAUAUUCUCGCUGUUCUGAUUGUGUCAUAAUCAGGGCAGGCUAAACAUUUGCUAUAGUAAGACCAUGCAUGUGUCCCCAGACCUUGAUCUUUCCCUAGGUCUGGUUUUAUAAAUGCUGCUGAUAAAU